UACGGAAGGUCCGGGCGUUAUCCGGAUUUAUUGGGUUUAAAGGGAGCGCAGGCCGCCCCUUAAGCGUGUUGUGAAAUGCCGCGGCUCAACCGUGGCACUGCGGCGCGAACUGGAGUCCUUGAGUGCGCGGAACGUAUGCGGAAUUCGUGGUGUAGCGGUGAAAUGCUUAGAUAUCACGAAGAACCCCGAUUGCGAAGGCAGCGCACCGGCGCCCAACUGACGCUGAAGCACGAAAGCGUGGGUAUCGA
rnacentral:rRNA from 1 species